rnacentral:rRNA from 1 species
GUAGGGAAUAUUGGGCAAUGGAGGCAACUCUGACCCAGCCAUUCCGCGUGCAGGAUGACGGCCCUCUGGGUUGUAAACUGCUUUUAUACGGGAAGAAAAAAUACUACGUGUAGUAUACUGACGGUACCGUAAGAAUAAGGAUCGGCUAACUCCGUGCCAGCAGCCGCGGUAAUACGGAGGAUCCAAGCGUUGUCCGGAUUUAUUGGGUUUAAAGGGUGCGUAGGCGGAUCUUUAAGUCAGUGGUGAAAGCCUGCAGCUUAACUGUAGAAUUGCCAUUGAAACUGAAGAUCUUGAAUGUGGUUAAAGUAGGCGGGAUGUAUCAUGUAGCGGUGAAAUGCUUAGCUAUGAUACAGAACACCGAUAGCGAAGGCAGCUUGCUGAACCAUUAUUGACGCUGAGGCACGAAAGCGUGGGGAGCGAACAGGAUUAGAAACCCUGGUAGUCC